UACGUAGGUGGCAAGCGUUGUCCGGAUUUAUUGGGUUUAAAGGGUGCGUAGGCGGCUUAAUAAGUCAGUGGUGAAAGCCGAUCGCUUAACGAUCGAACUGCCAUUGAUACUGCUAGGCUUGAGUAUAGUUGAGGUAGGCGGAAUUGACAGUGUAGCGGUGAAAUGCAUAGAUAUUGUCAAGAACACCAAUUGCGAAGGCAGCUUACUAAAGUAUAACUGACGCUGAGGCACGAAAAGUGCGGGGGAUCAAAACAGG
rnacentral:rRNA from 1 species